rnacentral:rRNA from 1 species
GAUGAACGCUAGCUACAGGCUUAACACAUGCAAGUUGAGGGGCAGCAUCAUCAAAGCUUGCUUUGAUGGAUGGCGACCGGCGCACGGGUGAGUAACACGUAUCCAACCUGCCGACAACACUGGGAUAGCCUUUCGAAGGAAAGAUUAAUACCGGAUGGCAUAGUUUUCCCGCAUGGGGAUAAUUAUUAAAGAAUUUCGGUGUCGAUGGGGAUGCGUUCCAUUAGGCAGUUGCGGGUAAGCCACAACACGAUGGAUAGGGGUUCUGAGAGGAAGGUCCCCCCANAUUGGAACUGAGACACGGUCCAAAACUCCUACGGGAGGCAGCAGUGAGGAAUAUUGGUCAAUGGACGAGAGUCUGAACCAGCCAAGUAGCGUGCAGGAUGACGGCCCUAUGGGUUGUAAACU